UCCAAUCUAACUGUAAAUGGGAAAUGAAUCCGAAACUCUGGUUUUAACAACCCAAAAAACAGGGAGAAAAUGAUGGGAAUUAUUACAGACGGUAUUAGUGUGAGAAAAGAUAUGCAGCGGCACCGGGAGAGGGGAGAGAGGGGAGAGAGAGAAAGAGAGUGAGAUUCGGAAUGCGUAUCGUUCAUCGUCUCUCUGCUUGCUCUCCACCCCCGCACUCUGCCCUGUAAGUUCUCCUUAAACUCCUCCUCCGCUAAUCCACUGACCAACAUGACCGGCAACGGAGGCGGGGGAGGAUCGCCGCCUCUCGUCGUCAACUACGGCGGCGAAUUCCUUCUUCAACUGCUUCAAAAAACUCACCAACCCCAAAUGCCUCCUGGAGCAGCAGCAGCCGCAACACCCCCGCCACCGAGCGACGCCAGUUCUACUGCAACUCAUGCCCCGACUUUCGCCGACUUUCCCCAUGACCUUCACAAUCAUUACCAUGGUCCCGCCGUUGCAUCCAUAGGUCACACCCUUCCUUUCUCGCAAUAGCUCUCCAAUGGCCAUGAUCUCUGUACGGUUCCAUGGCCGCCCAACUCCGCCCAUGCUUCAUACCCCUCUAAUUUCCUUCUCCAGUCCUUGCCCCAGAACACUUGUCCACUCCCUGCAUUACCUCCCAUGGAAUUGGCGUGCUUGAUCGCUUCCGAAGCCCUCAUUUGUCUGGAAGUCAGCUGUUAUCUGGCGAGGGUCUUCAGGGAUUAGGGUUUUUCGGUGGUCUCGACAUUGUUGGAAAACCGGACUAUCGGCAUCAUCUGCAGGAGCAACAGCAGCGGCUUGAGAGCACUUCAAUGUUUGGUUCGUUGCCAAGUGAGGUGCUGAGAAAUGACGGUCUACCAAAUGGGCAUUCUCCGGAUCUACAUGUGCGAGGAGUCGAUAGGUUGAGUAUAGAGGCCUAAUUCACUGUUCAGAAGGAGCGGGAACGUGUAUUUGGGAGCAGAAGCUUUGAUGGCUCUGAGUUUCACUCUUCGCCUCCCCUACAUGGGAUAGGGGCGUUAGAACGCCCACAACUAAAUUUCCAUGGUGCUCGUCAAGGGAACUUUGAACUUCAUGAACAAGGAAGAGCAGGAGGCCCCCAUGGGUUCAAAGUUCUAUUGUGGAGGAGCCCAGGCGAACACCACCUGGUUUUCCUUACAAGCCAAAGGGACAAGGGCAUUUGGUUUUUGAGGACCAGGGAAGUCGGGUUGAAUUUAAACACUGGGCUCCUUCCUUCUAUUAUGAAGAUGGAGUGAGGACAGGACAGACCCCCGAAGAUCAUGGAAUUCAAGGUGAUGCAUCUUUAAGACUUACCAGCCAGCUUAAGCGCCCUAGCCCGCCUACAGGGAGUAGCCUGCAUUCUGUUCCAGCAACGGGUAUUGAAGAAUCUCUGGGCAAUUUGCAUAUUGAAAUUGUUGAUGAAGGGGGUGUGCCAGGACUUCCAAGGCCCGGCCAGAGGAAUAGGAAUGGUGUAGUUGGCUCACCCUAUGGAAUGGAUCGUCACCAUGAACGGGAUAUUUUGGCUGAACAACGUAUUGGUUCUUUGAUGCUAAAUGAUGGGUUUAACGAGGAUGGAAUAAGGAAGGACUUCAGAUCAGAUAUCUCCAGGGGAUUGCAUGUACCUGGACAGCGGAUGAGGAACAAGAAAAGAGAGAUCGAACUUCGCAUUGACUUAGACGGAUUAAAUGUUCCUUUUCUUUCAAUUUAUGAAUCUCUAAUACCAGUAAAGGAAGAAAAGGCAAAGCAGAAGCAGCUGCUGACUUUGUUGGAGAAACUGGUCGACAAAGAAUGGCCUGGUGCUCGGUAGUUUCUUUAUGGAUCAUGUGCUAAUUCAUUUGGCGUUUCCAAUAGCGACAUUGAUGUUUGCCUUGCUAUCGAAGAUAAAGAUAUCAGUAAGUCUGAAAUAUUGUUGAAGUUGGCAGAUAUUUUGCAGUCGGAUAAUCUCCAGAAUGUGCAGGUGAAUAGGAUAUUUUGCUUUACUUUCAGUGUUUCAAAGUGAAAAUUUCUUGGGAUCUAUGAUUCAUUAACAAGAGUAAUUUUUCAUAGCUUUUUAUGUGCUUCUUGAGGAAAGAAAUCGGAUUUGUUUUCCAAUAAAGGAAAUGUUAUGGAGAUGCCUUGCCUUCUGUGGUUUACACUGGCCACCUGUUGCAUUUUGGAUGUGGACAACCCAGGCCUCUUGGCAAUCCUAGUGUGUAUUUUUUUCUUUUUAAGAUUGCAUUGAUACGUAAUAGACUGGAAGGUCAGCAGGGACCACUGGGGGGACUGGUCUCUUCUGCAUUGGUCUUACAUAUAUGCUUAUUUUCCAUAGGCAUUUGGAAAAUCAUAUUUGUCCUAAAAUAUUGUAGAUUCUGGAAGCAUUUCAUUAAUUGAUUUAUCUAUUUAUUAAAUGCUUCAUGUAAUACAACAUGAGAAAUAGUGGUCUCCUAAUCAUGGCUAUUAACCAUAUGCUUCUGUUGAAGAUGGACCUCAGGACAGCCAUAUUUCAUUAGGAAAAGGUAAACUUUCUGUGGAAUCUAUUUACUUAUCAAAAAAUUCUUUAAUUAAAUAAUGUGAAAUAGGCAGGUAAAUAAUUUCCCUUUUGUUUUAUCUCAAUUAUGUCUGGGAUUAUUGGCUCCAGUCUGAUCAUGGCCGUAAAUUUGUGUGGGAUGUGGCAAUGAGUGGUUUCUGCCUUUUCUUCUCAAAAAACAAAAGUAGUGGCUCUUAGACUUGGUUUAUGGAUUAGAAAAUAAUGUUGAUUGGAAGUUUCUGUCUGAUUGUGUUAUUCCAAUUUGGAGCAGGACCCUGGGCCCUGAAGUGAAUUAUUUGUGUCACAAUGCGAUCCAUUAUAGUGAUUUAGGAUGUUGUGGUCCGUAGGAGAGGCCAUUAACCAAAGCUAUGUAUUUUUCAGCCACAAUUCUUGUACUUAUUCUGUAGGGUUUAAAUUGUUCCCACAAGGUUGCUGUCAUCUUGUCGAUUGGUUGUGUGGUGCUGUGUCACUGAUAUUUUAUUGAAUGGGUUGUUGUUAGGCUGGUUUGCAGAGAGAACUUUCUUUUUCGACUCGUCAUCUUUCUAGUUUUAUUGUUAUAAAUAAUUGGGAUGCUUUCUCAAGAUCGAUUUUCAGAAUUACAAGAUGUGAUUGAAAAAAAUUACAACUAAAUUGAAGCAUUGGGCAGCAGUAAUUGAUGCAGUUUUUUAUUUUUUUGGAUGGGUAAAUAAAUGUAUUAAAGAAAGGGGGAGGGAAAUUACAACUCCGAAAGUGGAAACACACCCGAAAGGGUAACAAGAGCUCACAUGGGCUAAAAGACGAGCUAAGAAGCCCAUUCAACUCAAAGGACUGCAACCAAGGCCAAAGGGCUUCAAGUCUCACAUGUCCAAUACAUCACAAAAGCCCACAUGGGCUAAAAACAAAUCAAGGAAGUCCAUCAGGGCAACUAAGUCAAAUUCAGUUAGGGUUUGGGAAACCCUAACAAACAUCUCUUCUCUUUAUCUAUCCAGCCGCCAAGAGAGCAUCGCCGACAAGAUGGUUGCUGCUUUGGAGGGCACUGGAGUUGCCGAGGGCCACGACCAAGCUUGCAGCUGGCCUAGCAGGGGUGAUAACCACGAUUGAGGGCUGGCCUUGCAAAGGGCAAUGAUGAAGCGGCUGCCGGCCGAGCAUAGCUGGCAGCAAAAUGGCAGAAGUCGAGCAAGCCUGGCAAAGGGUGGCUGGCCAAGCAGGGUUGGCGGUGAACUGUUGUAAACCAAGCGGCGGUGGAAUAGGCCGGCUGAGCAAAAUGGCUAUUGAAGCUAAAGCAAGCAAACAAGAUCAGAGGUGAUGAGGUAGCUGGCUGAGCGCAAAUCCGAACGGGCAUAAGAUCCAGCAGGGAUGAUGACCUACGGGGCAGGUGGCCAAGAGGAGGCAACUAGCUGAGUGGGAAUUUAAACAACCAUAAGAUCUAGCAGGGAUGGUGACCUAUAGGGUUGGCGGCCAAAACGCGACUUCAAUCAAGAAGAAGCUCCAACAA